UGCACUCACUACUGUAAGUCGCUCUAUAAGAGCGUCUGCUAAAUGACAAAUG
rfam:Salmo salar isolate Sally breed double haploid chromosome ssa05, whole genome shotgun sequence.